UACGUAGGGUGCGAGCGUUGUCCGGAAUUACUGGGCGUAAAGAGCGCGCAGGCGGUCGUUCAAGUCGCGUGUGAAAGCCCCCGGCUCAACUGGGGAGGGUCACGCGAUACUGAUCGACUCGAAGGCAGGAGAGGGUAGUGGAAUUCCCGGUGUAGUGGUGAAAUGCGUAGAUAUCGGGAGGAACACCAGUGGCGAAGGCGACUACCUGGCCUGUUUCUUGACGCUGAGGCGCGAAAGCUAGGGGAGCAAACGGG
rnacentral:rRNA from 1 species